ensembl:misc_RNA
UUGAUGCCUUGGGGAGAACAAAGUCCUUUAUUUGUCCCCAGGCAUGCUAGAGCAGUGCUCCACACCCACGUGGCUUCCUUCUGACCUGAAAGGACCACCUUUAAGGGGCAAAAAGUAGUUUAGCUUCCCGAGCCUUUUGAAACUUGCCCUUU